rnacentral:pre_miRNA from 1 species
UCUUAUGGAUAAGCAAAGAAAAUGGUUUAUUGAAAUGGAAUCUACUCCUGUUGAGCAUGCUGUGAA